rnacentral:rRNA from 1 species
UUUAUUGAGAGUUUGAUCCUGGCUCAGGACGAACGCUGGCGGCGUGCCUAACACAUGCAAGUCGAACGAAGCUCUGCGAUACAAGACUUCGGUCAAGUUGAACGGAUGACUUAGUGGCGGACGGGUGAGUAACGCGUGAGGAACCUGCCUUUCAGUGGGGGACAACAGUUGGAAACGACUGCUAAUACCGCAUAAUGUAUUCUGACCGCAUGAUCGGAAUACCAAAGAUUUAUUGCUGAAAGAUGGCCUCGCGUCUGAUUAGAUAGUUGGUGAGGUAACGGCCCACCAAGUCGACGAUCAGUAGCCGGACUGAGAGGUUGAACGGCCACAUUGGGACUGAGAUACGGCCCAGACUCCUACGGGAGGCAGCAGUGGGGAAUAUUGGGCAAU